GAAAGACCUCUCACUAGUUCAUAAUACGUUUAUCAAUCACUGACAUUUAAAACAUUUCAGAGUGCUCUGCAAAAUGCCUAAGUUCCUGUUUGUGAAAAAAAAAGAAGUGCUUUCUCCUCAAUUCGAUGUAAAUUCAUCCAUUCAUUCAUUCAUUCAUUUCUUCUUAAUCAAAUCAUGCCAGCUUCAAGCUUUCCAAAGGCUUCCCAGUGGUUUGCAGAAGCCCCAGCCAAAACAUGGUGCCAGCAAGAAUUAGCCUUCUACUGGAGGACUGGAAGGAGGACCAGUGUGACUGGAGUGGAGGAAGCAUAGGCAAAGUGGUCUGACACAAGGAGGGAAGAUGUCUGGCCCAAACCAAGGAAAUGCCAUGUGAGAACAUAGCAAACAGAAGGCCAGCUACAAACCAGGAAGAGGUCCCUCACCAGAAUCCAGAUCUGCUGCCACCUUGAUAAUGGACUUGUUGCCUUCAGAACUGUACUGAAAUACACGUCUGUUGUUUAUGCCACCCAGUCUAUGGUAUUUUGUUAGAGCAGCCCUAACAGGCUGACACAAGACAUCACAAACAUAACUGAUCCUUGACUAUGUGUUUAGCAGUUAAUUAGUUUCUGGGAGGGAUACUGAAGAGUAUAAGGUUCCUUCCUAAGUACAACUUGCAAAAAUCUGUCAGUAUACUGAACCCUUCAACUAGAUAUACCCACUACAAAGAUCCAUUCAUUUAAGCAUAAAAGAAAUGUCAAACAAACAAGAACAUCUUGCUAUUAAAAAAUGCAGUCACACCAUCAAAUAGACAUUCACUCUCAUCUUUUAUAUGUCUUGUAUGUCAACAGUUUAGUAAAAUAUAAUUGAAACACGAAGUCAGAGGCUCUAUGAAAAUCAAAGAGAAUUUGAGUAUCUCUUAAGAUGC
rnacentral:lncRNA from 1 species